rnacentral:rRNA from 1 species
CAGAACCUUACCUGCGUUUCGACAUACAUGGAUUAGCAGGUCGAAACAUUCGUGAGGCCCGCAAGGGUACAACAUGAACAGGUGCUGCAUGGCUGUCGUCAGCUCGUGCUGUGAAGCGUCGGGUUAAGUCCCUUAACGAGCGCAACCCCUGUCGUUAGUUACUAACAGGUAAUGCUGAGGACUCUAGCGAGACUGCCGGUGUCAAACCGGAGGAAGGCGGGGAUGACGUCAAGUCCUCAUGGCCCUUACAUCCAGGGUUGCACACGUGCUACAAUGGUGCGUACAAAGCGAAGCAAGACCGCGAGGUGGAGCAAAUCGCAAAAAACGCACCCCAGUUCGGAUUGCAGGCUGAAACCCGCCUGCAUGAAGCCGGAAUCGCUAGUAAUCGGGGAUCAGCUACGCCCCGGUGAAUGUGUUCCUGAGCCUUGUACACACCGCCCGUCAACUCAUGGGAGCCGGUAGCGCCCGAAGCCGCUGUAUUUCAGCAGCGUCUACGGCAAGAUCGGUGACUGGGAGUAAGUCGUAACAAGGUAGCCGUAGGAGAACCUGCGGCUGGAACACCUCCUUCUAGACUGCAGAA